CAGCCGCCGCGGUAAUACAGAGGGUGCGAGCGUUAAUCGGAUUUACUGGGCGUAAAGCGUGCGUAGGCGGCUUUUUAAGUCGGAUGUGAAAUCCCUGAGCUUAACUUAGGAAUUGCAUUCGAUACUUGGAAGCUAGAGUAUGGGAGAGGAUGGUAGAAUUCCAGGUGUAGCGGUGAAAUGCGUAGAGAUCUGGAGGAAUACCGAUGGCGAAGGCAGCCAUCUGGCCUAAUACUGACGCUGAGGUACGAAAGCAUGGGGAGCAAACAGGAUUAGAUACCCGAGUAGUCCCUGUCUCUUAUAC
rnacentral:rRNA from 1 species